rnacentral:lncRNA from 1 species
UAGUGCAGAUCUUUGAUAUGUUUGUUUUAUAUUAAGUUAUACAUUUUUAUUUAUACUCAUAUAUUCAGUCAUUUUGUUUUGUAUUGUCUCUUUUCUUUAGAUUGUGCAUAUAUAUAUAUAUAUAUAUGUGUAGUUGUAUGAAUAUUGAAUUUAGGUUUGAAGGUAUUUUUAUAUUUGUUAUAUCCAGUAAUAUUAUGUUUUUUUAUUUUAAAAUAAAAAUAAUUUUGAUUAUAAA